rnacentral:lncRNA from 1 species
UUUUUCUUUCUUCUUCUUCAUGGUUUAUUCCCUCAUCGACUUGUUUUGUUUUUUCUUUUCUUAAAUGCGUGAACUUUUUUCAAAUCGAUGACGUUUUUUCUCAAAUUUGUUGAGAGUUUGUUUUCAAAAUCAAUGAACUUUUGUCCCAUUUUUAGUGAACUAUUUUUACUAGCCUUAAAUGUUUUUCCGCGCAAUAAUACAAUUUUUACUGCAUGCACAUUCGUGAGCCGGCCCACCAGAAGCUGCUGUAGGCGCUCCGAGGCGUGAGCGACCUGCGUCCAUUGACACCAAUGAUACAGCCCCACGAGCUACACAGCCCGCGUAUUUGGCGCGGGCAGCCCACGUGCACACAUUAGGUAGCUUUGUAGUACUCCUUUCGUCCGGGUUUAUUAGGCCUAAAAACAAUUUUUUUAGACCAAGACACAUAAUAAUUUGCUCACAUUAAUUAUUCAAUUUCACUCUCAAUGCACUCUCUCACAUGCAUACAGUCAAUAAAAAAACACGCAUGAAGUGUAUUAAUUUCGCAGCCAUGGCACCAACAACAAUGGCUUUAAAUACAACCAAUGAAAUGGUUGCAUGCAUGCACCUUUCCAAAGUAAGGCCUUAUAAAAAAGGACAUGCUUGUGAUGCUAAGAGGCCUAAUAAACCCGGACGGAGGGAGUAGUUCGUAGUACUAUACAUCCCAAGCGCUGGAAGUUGAUUUCCUCAAAAAAAAAGCGCUGGAAGUUGAUACACGCAGCGAGAGUUU